rnacentral:rRNA from 1 species
GCCAGACUCCUACGGGAGGCAGCAGUGGGGAAUAUUGGGCAAUGGAGGAAACUCUUACCCAGCAAUGCCGCGUGAAUGGAGAAGGUCUUCGGAUUGUAAAGUUCUUUAAUUGGGGACGAAAAAAAUGACGGUACCCAAGGAAUAAGCCCCGGCUAACUACGUGCCAGCAGCCGCGGUAAUACGUAGGGGGCAAGCGUUAUCCGGAUUUACUGGGUGUAAAGGGAGCGUAGACGGUAUGGCAAGUCUGAAGUGAAAGCCCAGGGCUUAACCCUGGGACUGCUUUGGAAACUGUUAGACUAGAGUGCUGGAGAGGUAAGUGGAAUUCCUAGUGUAGCGGUGAAAUGCGUAGAUAUUAGGAGGAACACCAGUGGCGAAGGCGGCUUGCUGGACGAUGACUGACGCUGAGGCUCGAAAGCGUGGGGAGCAAACAGGAUUAGAUACCCGAGAA